UGGGGAAUUUUGCACAAUGGGGGAAACCCUGAUGCAGCGACGCCGCGUGAUUUAGAAGGCCUUCGGGUUGUAAAAAUCUUUUUUACGGGAUGAAAAUGACAGUACCGUAAGAAUAAGGUCCGGCUAAAUACGUGCCAGCAGCCGCGGUAAUACGUAUGGACCGAGCGUUGUCCGGAAUCAUUGGGCGUAAAGGGUACGUAGGCGGCCUAGUAAGUUAGAAGUGAAAUAAUAUAGCUCAACUAUAUAAAGCUUUUAAAACUGCUAGGCUUGAGAGAUGGAAGGGAAAGUGGAAUUCCUAGUGUAGCGGUGAAAUGCGCAGAUAUUAGGAAGAAUACCGGUGGCGAAGGCGACUUCCUGGUCAUCAUCUGACGCUGAGGUACGAAAGCGUGGGUAGCAAACAGG
rnacentral:rRNA from 1 species